AUCCAGCUGACGAGUCCCAAAUAUAGCGAAAUGCACAUCCUGGAU
rfam:Schistosoma mansoni, Puerto Rico, WGS project CABG01000000 data, contig: 0160